UUUUGUUGGAGGUUCUUCUGUAGCUGAGUCCUUCUUCAGCUUAUUCCAAUGUGAUUCUGGAUGUCAAAGGCUGAUGGAAACAAGAUAAAUUAUCCUCAUGCAGAUGUUCUGAAACUACUCCCCUAGUUGGCUUGCUACAAAGAAGACUAUUUCCAUGCCCUUUUAUGCUGUGAAGUCUGUGUGCACACCAACUUGGCUGAAGGAAUCUGCACUGCUGUGACUCAAGGGAGUCCUGGAACAACUUCCUCUUCACAUCCUUUUUGCACACUGUCUUGAGGGGAAUUCUUGUGGACAACACCCAGACACCAUCCCAUGCUGUGCUGUCCAAAGUAGUUUCAAAAUUGCUUUACUGUGUAGAAGGGAACAAGGACCUUGUCCACAGCCAUUUCCAAAGCUGCUUAUGCUGUGCUAUGUUUUGUCAGAGCUUUUGUGUCCCAGGCGUAAUGGAGGUCCCAGCUCAUCCUUCUACCAAAAAAUGGGUGCUUCAGGCAAGAGAAGUGUUCUCCUGUGUCUUGCCUCAUACUGCCACCACCAGAGCUAUGAGAUAAGAAAACUGAGACAAAGAGUGGUCAAGGUUAUCCAGCAAGUCUGCGAGAGAGCAAGGGAUGGAAUCUACUGUAACCACUAACUGCAGGUUUGCUCUUGAAUCUGUGUUGCUGAAGGCCUCCAUCCUGGCAGAAAGUCAGAUUUCUUUUUUUCACGGCCUGAGUCCUUCUGCAGCUCUAGUAUUGUGUUGUAAAUGGGCAGCCCUGUACAACAGUUUUGCCAGGCUGUAAAUAUAUAGCCUUGAAAGGGAAAGGAGGAUAAACAAAAGAUAAACAAGAAAGAAGAAUGAGAAACGUUAUUCCCAAGGGAGUGUUCCUGACAAUCUGUUAACUUCUUAUUGGCGUAUUCAUAACCACUUCCAAAGAAUGUCACAAACUCAUAGCAAAGUAGCUUGAGCUUCUGUUGAUGAAUUGAAGGAAAUUCGUUCUAAAGAAAAUACAUCACAUGAAGUUAACCCACAGUACUGGAUCAGCCAAAAAAAACACCACGGAACAGGAAUUCCUUUAAUUUAACAAUACCGUAAUCUCAUUGCAGGCUGAGCAGUAACAUUACAAACUGCACACACAACACCUUUCUUUUUAGCUGAAAUUUGGCAGUGGUGAGUUUUAACAGCAACACCCCCAAAUUAACCUUAAUCUUCAGCUUGGAUGAUCUUUUUUUCUUGAUUAUGUGAGUUUGUGUCCCUAUGUUUUAUUUCCAGACAUAAAUAAUGAGAUAUUCAAAAUAUACUGCAAAACAGUUCAAAGCUAGCACAGUAAAUACUACGUUGCAUGAACUGUGGAGGAAUGCCAAUUUUUCAUUGCUCUCCUCUAUGCUUCAGUCACUCUAGUUCUGUCUCCUGCAAAGCCAUCUCAGUCUGGCUGUACUUCCCUUAAUUACAUUGCGUUCUUUGAAAGGACAGAAGUAACUGCUGUGAAACAUGCUGUCAGAAAUCUAUGCACCAAAUUCCAUUGGUUUUUCUUUUACAUCAUAAUUAAAUGUCACCUGGUCCAAAACUAACUCCUUAUGAAGCUAGAUUAAAAGAGCUCUGUUUGGUGACUUCCUCACACUCAGAAAUUGGUGGUGAUACAAAGCAGAUACAAUACAGAAAAAGCACAGAGCAGCUGCAUGGCAAUCACUAUAGCUUCUGGCCUGCAGUAGCAAUUUGAUUUCUUCUGUGUUCCUCUGGAGUGCUCUGGAGAAAUAACCCUGAGUGAAGAUCUGUAGCACACACUGAUCUGUCUCCCUGUGCCCAUGACAGCAUACAUAGUUGGCCUGCUACAGAAGAAAUUGCUGCAUAUAAACGCGUGCAGUUCCUGCAUGUUGCUACUCUUGAUCUUCUGCACUUCCCUAGCUCUGAGAUGACAGCCAGUGAUGCUGUCAUACACUUGGACUCAGAAUUCAUCUCUCUGACUCAGUGCCUGUUUUGGUAGUGUAGUAACACCAAGCUUUGUAGG
rnacentral:lncRNA from 1 species